GCAGCUUGAUAAAGGAAGUACAUUUGUGUAAUAAGACCUUAUGUGUACAAAUUAAUAAGAUUGAAUGUAGUAUCGGAAGUUUAUCAUGCUAUGGAACUGAGGCUUAAAGCUUGACGGCCGACUUAGAGAGCAACAGCAACAGUUUUAGCAGCAACUUCUCCAACAGCAGCAACUUCUCCAACAGCAACAACCACCACAGCAGCAACAACAACAACUCUAGCGGCAACCAACCCAGCAGCAACAUCAACCAUUACAGCAACAACGAAAAUGACGUCAUUAUACCAGCGCCGCCAUUUUGGCAUUUUAUAUACAGACCGAUUCAGUGCACAUUUUCCAGAACACUUCUCGUUACUCGUUCAAAAUCAAUAAAAUGCCAUUAAUCUAUAA